rnacentral:rRNA from 1 species
AUUGAACGCUGGCGGCAGGCCUAACACAUGCAAGUCGAGCGGAUGAAGGGAGCUUGCUCCUGGAUUCAGCGGCGGACGGGUGAGUAAUGCCUAGGAAUCUGCCUGGUAGCGGGGGAUAACGUCCGGAAACGGGCGCUAAUACCGCAUACGUCCUGAGGGAGAAAGUGGGGGAUCUUCGGACCUCACGCUAUCAGAUGGGCCUAGGUCGGAUUAGCUAGUUGGUGGGGUAAAGGCCUACCAAGGCGACGAUCCGUAACUGGUCUGAGAGGAUGAUCAGUCACACUGGAACUGAGACACGGUCCAGACUCCUACGGGAGGCAGCAGUGGGGAAUAUUGGACAAUGGGCGAAAGCCUGAUCCAGCCAUGCCGCGUGUGUGAAGAAGGUCUUCGGAUUGUAAAGCACUUUAAGUUGGGAGGAAGGGCAGUAAGUUAAUACCUUGCUGUUUUGACGUUACCAACAGAAUAAGCACCGGCUAACUUCGUG